GCCUGGGUGGCUCAGUCGGUUGAGCGUCUGACUUCAGCUCAGGUCAUGAUCUCCCGGUUCAUGAGUUCGAGCCCCAAGUCGGGUU
rnacentral:tRNA from 1 species